CGAUCUGUCUCAGAAGAUGCAACAGCCGGAAUCGAAGGCUCUGCAAAAAAGAGAUAACAACUGGGCGUGAGAACUACUGUAAAAACGAGUAGUCCUCAGUGGGUACCGCCCUCAACAUCGUCGAUCCACCUACCAAGUUUACAGGAGGACGCAAGGAUAGUAGGAAAAGCUGGAAGAAAUCUACAGCUAAAUGCCACUGCACUAUCAUGCUCUACACUAACCAACUGUAGUAAAUGUCAAAAUUGACCCAACCUCACUAGGGACUGUGAACACACCCGUCCCGCCUGUCGGAUCGAACCCGUAUCCUACUC
rnacentral:lncRNA from 1 species